rnacentral:rRNA from 1 species
UGUAGGUUGCAACUCGCCUACAUGAAGUCGGAAUCGCUAGUAAUCGCGGAUCAGCAUGCCGCGGUGAAUACGUUCCCGGGCCUUGUACACACCGCCCGUCACACCAUGAGAGUUUGUAACACCCAAAGCCGGUGGGGUAACCUUUUGGAGCCAGCCGUCUAAGGUGGGACAGAUGAUUGGGGGUGAAGUCGUAACAAGGUAGC